rnacentral:rRNA from 1 species
GGAAUAUUGGACAAUGGGCGCAAGCCUGAUCCAGCCAUGCCGCGUGAGUGAAGAAGGCCUUCGGGUUGUAAAGCUCUUUAAGCGGGGAGGAAGGUCAGCCAUUUAAUACAUGGUUGAAUUGACGUUACCUGCAGAAUAAGCACCGGCUAACUCUGUGCCAGCAGCCGCGGUAAUACAGAGGGUGCAAGCGUUAAUCGGAAUUACUGGGCGUAAAGCGUGCGUAGGCGGUCUUUUAAGUUGGAUGUGAAAUCCCCGGGCUUAACCUGGGAACUGCAUUCAAGACUGGGAGACUGGAGUCUGGGAGAGGAUGGUGGAAUUUCCGGUGUAGCGGUGAAAUGCGUAGAUAUCGGAAGGAACAUCAGUGGCGAAGGCGACCAUCUGGCCUAAGACUGACGCUGAGGCACGAAAGCGUGGGGAGCAAA